GCCGGGAUGGUCUAGAGGUUAUGACGUCUGCCUUACACGCAGAAGAUCGCGAGGUCAAUCCUCGCUCCUGGUA
rfam:Perkinsus marinus ATCC 50983 gcontig_1104296654854, whole genome shotgun sequence.